rnacentral:sRNA from 1 species
UCUAGAUUCUACCAACUGUGUGAAAGC